AACCAUUCUCACCUGCGGCUAGACCUGCGGAAGGAUCAUUACCAAGGUUUAUUGCUGGGAGAUUCUCCCGGUAGUUCCUUUCUUACAAUCCCCUUGUGUGCAAUAAUGUAUAAGAUGGUCUUUUUUUUAAAGGACCAUUUUUUCCUAUUACAACCCUUGACUGAACAAAUCAAAAAUAUAACCUGAAUACAACUUUCAACAACGGAUCU
rnacentral:misc_RNA from 1 species